GCUGUAGUUCAGUGGUACAGCACUUGCUGUGCAUGCAGAAGAUUUCAGGUUUGAUUCCUGGCAUCUCCA